rnacentral:rRNA from 1 species
GCUUGGCGGCGUGCCUAAUACAUGCAAGUCGAGCGAGCUGAAUUCAAAGAUUCCUUCGGGAUGAUUUGUUGGACGCUAGCGGCGGAUGGGUGAGUAACACGUGGGCAAUCUGCCCUAAAGACUGGGAUACCACUUGGAAACAGGUGCUAAUACCGGAUAACAACAUGAAUCGCAUGAUUCAAGUUUGAAAGGCGGCGCAAGCUGUCACUUUAGGAUGAGCCCGCGGCGCAUUAGCUAGUUGGUGGGGUAAAGGCCUACCAAGGCAAUGAUGCGUAGCCGAGUUGAGAGACUGAUCGGCCACAUUGGGACUGAGACACGGCCCAAACUCCUACGGGAGGCAGCAGUAGGGAAUCUUCCACAAUGGACGCAAGUCUGAUGGAGCAACGCCGCGUGAGUGAAGAAGGUUUUCGGAUCGUAAAGCUCUGUUGUUGGUGAAGAAGGAUAGAGGCAGUAACUGGUCUUUAUUUGACGGUAAUCAACCAGAAAGUCACGGCUAACUACGUGCCAGCAGCCGCGGUAAUACGUAGGUGGCAAGCGUUGUCCGGAUUUAUUGGGCGUAAAGCGAGCGCAGGCGGAAUGAUAAGUCUGAUGUGAAAGCCCACGGCUCAACCGUGGAACUGCAUCGGAAACUGUCAUUCUUGAGUGCAGAAGAGGAGAGUGGAAUUCCAUGUGUAGCGGUGGAAUGCGUAGAUAUAUGGAAGAACACCAGUGGCGAAGGCGGCUCUCUGGUCUGCAACUGACGCUGAGGCUCGAAAGCAUGGGUAGCGAACAGGAUUAGAUACCCUGG